CAGAGCCACGCUGACACAGGGAGAACAUGCAGAAAGGAACUUGAACCCAGGUGCUUAAGCAUUUUAUGCUGUGAAGAGGUGAAGCCCAAAUGAUACAGACAUGGAUGCAGCAGUGCCAGAACACCUGAAGCACGCUCCAGGACGUGCUGGGGCUUGUGGAUAUAAAAAAUUAGCCAUAAACAACUUUCACAAACUCUAAAAACAUUUACACGUGUUAACCAUUAUCCAGUAUUUUUGUUGUUUACUUGUUUGAUUUAUGGCUGUUUAACAAUAAUGCAAGACUGUUAGAGGGAAAAAAUAGU